rnacentral:rRNA from 1 species
AACGUAGGUAACAAGCGUUGUCCGGAAUUACUGGGUGUAAAGGGAGCGCAGGCGGGAAGACAAGUUGGAAGUGAAAUCUAUGGGCUCAACCCAUAAACUGCUUUCAAAACUGUUUUUCUUGAGUAGUGCAGAGGUAGGCGGAAUUCCCGGUGUAGCGGUGAAAUGCUUAGAUAUCACGAAGAACUCCGAUUGCGAAGGCAGCUCACUGGAGCGCAACUGACGCUGAAGCUCGAAAGUGCGGGUAUCGAACAGG